rnacentral:rRNA from 1 species
CUACGGGUGGCAUCAGUGGGGAAUAUUGGACAAUGGGCGAAAGCCUGAUCCAGCCAUGCCGCGUGUGUGAAGAAGGCCUUCGGGUUGUAAAGCACUUUCAGUGGGGAAGAAAGCCUUGGGGCUAAUACCCUCGAGGAAGGACAUCACCCACAGAAGAAGCACCGGCUAACUCCGUGCCAGCAGCCGCGGUAAUACGGAGGGUGCGAGCGUUAAUCGGAAUUACUGGGCGUAAAGCGCGCGUAGGCGGUCUGAUAAGCCGGUUGUGAAAGCCCCGGGCUCAACCUGGGAACGGCAUCCGGAACUGUCAGGCUAGAGUGCAGGAGAGGAAGGUAGAAUUCCCGGUGUAGCGGUGAAAUGCGUAGAGAUCGGGAGGAAUACCAGUGGCGAAGGCGGCCUUCUGGACUGACACUGACGCUGAGGUGCGAAAGCGUGGGUAGCAAACAGGAUUAGAUACCCUAGUAGUC